AAAGGCGGAUUUAUCUGCCGCUCAUGGAUGGGCCUGCGGUGCAUUAGCUAGUUGGUGAGAUAGUAGCUCACCAAGGCGACGAUGCAUAGCCGACCUGAGAGGGUGAUCGGCCACACUGGGACUGAGACACGGCCCAGACUCCUACGGGAGGCAGCAGUAGGGAAUCUUCCGCAAUAGACGCAAGUCUGACGGAGCAACGCCGCGUGAGUGAUGAAGGGUUUCGGCUCGUAAAACUCUGUUGUUAAGGAAGAACACUUGAGGUAGUAACUGGCCUUGAGAUGACGGUA
rnacentral:rRNA from 1 species